CUCAACUUAAACAAGAAGACAAAGUUAUCAAUAUCCCCCCCCAACGGUAAAAUACUCUUUAGGAAUAUGUCUACUAUUUAUGAUUAUGUCAAAUGUUUUGGAAUGUAUACAGCAAAGUGGAAGGAGAGUAUUGAAAGGUUUUUAAGAUCUGCU